CAGGAAAUAGUUUAAUUAAAAAUACCAGCUUUGGGAGUUGGUGAUAAAGGUUUGAUUCCUUUUUUUCUGA
rnacentral:tRNA from 1 species